CCUUCACAAUCAGGUUGACCUCGGAUCAGGUCGGGAUACCCGCUGAACUUAAGCAUAUCAAUAAGCGGAGGAAAAGAAACCAACAGGGAUUGCCCCAGUAACGGCGAGUGAAGCGGCAAGAGCUCAAAUUUGAAAUCUGGCCUCCUUCGGGGGUCCGAGUUGUAAUUUGUAGAGGAUGCUUCGGGUGUGGCCGCCGUCUAAGUUCCUUGGAACAGGACGUC
rnacentral:rRNA from 1 species